rnacentral:rRNA from 1 species
ACGCUAGCUACAGGCUUAACACAUGCAAGUCGAGGGGCAGCAUGGAAGAAGCUUGCUUCUUCUGAUGGCGACCGGCGCACGGGUGCGUAACGCGUAUCAAACCUGCCUCAUACUCGGGGAUAGCCUUGCGAAAGUAAGAUUAAUACCCGAUGUUGUUAUGUCACCGCAUGGUGAUAUAACCAAAGAUUUAUCGGUAUGAGAUGGUGAUGCGUCCGAUUAGGUAGUAGGCGGGGUAACGGCCCACCUAGCCUUCGAUCGGUAGGGGUUCUGAGAGGAAGGUCCCCCACACUGGAACUGAGACACGGUCCAGGCUCCUACGGGAGGCAGCAGUGAGGAAUAUUGGUCAAUGGACGGAAGUCUGAACCAGCCAAGUAGCGUGCAGGAUGACGGCCCUCCGGGUUGUAAACUGCUUUUAGUUGGGAAUAAAAAAGAGGACGUGUCCUCUAUUGUAUGUACCUUCAGAAAAAGGACCGGCUAAUUCCGUGCCAGCAGCCGCGGUAAUACGGAAGGUCCAGGCGUUAUCCGGAUUUAUUGGGUUUAAAGGGAGCGUAGGCGGAUUAUUAAGUCAGUGGUGAAAGACGGUGGCUCAACCAUCGUUAGCCAUUGAAACUGGUAGUCUUGAGUGCAGACAGGGAUGCUGGAACUCGUGGUGUAGCGGUGAAAUGCUUAGAUAUCACGAUGAACUCCGAUCGCGAAGGCAGGUGUCCGGGCUGCAACUGACGCUGAGGCUCGAAAGUGUGGGUAUCAAACAGGAUUAGAUACCCUGGUAGUCCACACAGUAAACGAUGUAUACUCGCGGUUUGCGAUACAAUGUAAGCCGCCAAGCGAAAGCAUUAAGUAUACCACCUGGGGAGUACGCCGGCAACGGUGAAACUCAAAGGAAUUGACGGGGGCCCGCACAAGCGGAGGAA